rnacentral:rRNA from 1 species
UACGUAGGGGGCAAGCGUUAUCCGGAUUUACUGGGUGUAAAGGGAGCGUAGACGGUUAUGCAAGUCAGAAGUGAAAGCCCAAAGCUCAACUUCGGGACUGCUUUUGAAACUGUGUAACUAGAGUGCAGGAGGGGUAAGCGGAAUUCCUAGUGUAGCGGUGAAAUGCGUAGAUAUUAGGAGGAACACCGGCGGCGAAGGCGGCUUACUGGACUGUAACUGACGUUGAGGCUCGAAACCGUGGGGAGCAAACAGG